rnacentral:rRNA from 1 species
AUUGAACGCUAGCGGGAUGCUUUACACAUGCAAGUCGAACGAGUGGCGGACGGGUGAGUAAUAUAUCGGAACGUGCCCAGUAGCGGGGGAUAACUACUCGAAAGAGUGGCUAAUACAGAAUACUAUUGGAGCGGCCGAUAUAGGAUUAGCUAGUUGGUGGGGUAAAGGGUUACCAAGGCAACUAGCCGGAGCGGGUUUGAGAGGACGACCAGCCACACGGGGACGUAGAACCGGCCCAGACCCCUACGGGGGGCAGCAGUGGGGAAUUUUGGACAAUGGGGUAAACCCGGAUCCAGCCACCCGGCGUGUAUGAGAAGGCCUUCGGGGUGUAAAGUACUUUUGGCAGAGAAGCGGUAUCUGCAGAAUAAGCACCGGCUAACUACGUGCCAGCAGCCGCGGUAAUAC